GCCUCGGUAGCUCAGUUGGUAGAGCAAGGGACUGAAAAUCCCUGUGUCGGUGGUUCGAUUCCACUCUGAGGCACCA
rnacentral:tRNA from 1 species